UGAAAAUGACGACGCAGCCGACAACAAACGAGAGCUGCGGCGCGUGAAGAGUAUCUCGAGCUGUCUCGAGCAGAGAAUCCUGCACUGCAGUCACGUCGAUGAAAUGCUAUAUACUUGUUACACUUUCCACACUGGAAACGAAAUGAGGACAUGGAGAGGAAUGGAGACACACCAAAAGUUUAACUACAAAGAUCAAAACUAUGGAUAUAUCUCGAACUCGAUAUUAACUCAUAUGAUCGAAGCUACGUGAGCUUGUUAGGACUUCCCCCUCCCUCCUCCACUGUUCGCGUUUUCAAUGCAGCUUCUAAAGUUCUAUAAUUUAUUUCAGGCAGGCAUAAUGCAGAGAUGCGUCGCAAGAAUGGAGGAGAAAUUCUAUUCAAAAUAAUUGAUUAGAGAAUAAAAGUAUAUAUAUAUAUAUUAUUCGUGUACAUUACGACGAUCAUAACUGAAUGUGCACUCUUUCUCGCAGUUUUAUUAAUAUAAACAAUAAUAAAACUUUAUUUGCCACAAUCAGUAUUACUAUCUAGCCAUGAAAAGUUAUAUACACCAUUUUUCAAGUAACUAGCACGACGCGUGGUACACAAUAAAUAAUUUCCUUGCCACUUUAAAUGCCAACAAGACGUAAAAUACAAUUCAACUUACAUUGACGUAGUUUUAAAUUAUUUAAGAAGUGCAUGCAAACUCUUCACGUGUAUGUAGAAAUAUAUAUGUAUAUAUAUAUAUUUUUUUUUUUUAUAUAUAACGUAACUCUAAUAUUAUUCUUUAUUUGUAAACUUAUUUUCACGUAUGUAACUAUUUACCAAAACCAUAUUUUAUUGGUGAGUAAAGCCAUUAAACAGCAUUAAUAAAAUUGAUGCAUUGUAGCGUCAAGGUAACGACGCUACGCGGAAGUACGCGAAUAUUUGCAAAUGUAACAUCCUAUUGUGUUCUGUUGCGAUGAAAUUUUACAAUGCUAAAAUGCACCAUAGAAGUUCCAUACAUCUAUCUUGUUACUUUCAUGCGUGUAAAAUAAACCGUUGGAGACGCGCACGCAUUUAGACCUGGUGUACAAUAGUUGGAGUAACUAUGGAGUAAGAAAUAAGAGUAAGGUAAUUUCUUUUUGCGCUGUGAUUAACCGAGCGUUAAGAAAAGCAGGAGUAGGAGUAAGACAAAAUGAAAAUAAUUUAUUUCGCUUACGCCCUUACGCCAACUUUCUUAUACUGGAUUAAUC